UACAGAGGGGGCAAGCGUUAUUCGGAAUUAUUGGGCGUAAAGGGCGCGUAGGCGGCUUUGCAAGUGACGGGUGAAAUCCCUCGGCUUAACCGAGGAACUGCCUGUCAGACUGUAAGGCUUGAGACCGGGAGAGGUGAGUGGAAUUCCCAGUGUAGCGGUGAAAUGCGUAGAUAUUGGGAAGAACACCGAUGGCGAAGGCAGCCAUCUGGACCGACACUGACGCUGAGGCGCGAAAGCGUGGGGAGCAAACGGG
rnacentral:rRNA from 1 species